rnacentral:rRNA from 1 species
UCCAGACUCCUACGGGAGGCAGCAGUGGGGAAUAUUGCACAAUGGGCGAAAGCCUGAUGCAGCAACGCCGCGUGAAGGAAGACGGUUUUCGGAUUGUAAACUUCUGUUCUUAGUGAAGAAUAAUGACGGUAACUAAGGAGCAAGCCACGGCUAACUACGUGCCAGCAGCCGCGGUAAUACGUAGGGGGCGAGCGUUAUCCGGAUUUACUGGGUGUAAAGGGAGCGUAGACGGCUGGUCAAGUCUGAAGUGAAAGCCCGGGGCUUAACCCCGGAACGGCUUUGGAAACUGAGCAGCUAGAGUGCUGGAGAGGUAAGCGGAAUUCCUAGUGUAGCGGUGAAAUGCGUAGAUAUUAGGAGGAACACCAGUGGCGAAGGCGGCUUACUGGACAGUAACUGACGUUGAGGCUCGAAAGCGUGGGGAGCAAACAGGAUUAGAUACCCGAGUA